rnacentral:misc_RNA from 1 species
GAGCGAGUAAGAAGUGAUAUUGAGUCUAACCAGCCUCCAACAUCAUCAGUUCUUAGCACAACACAGGAGGCAGGAAAACGAGUGCCAACUGUGACCAAUCCCAAUGCAGAAGAUGCUGCGGAACUACUGAGGUACUUUCUUUUUUCCCUGGUCUUUUAGAAAUAUCUCUAUGCCGUGAUAAAAGUUAAUUAGUUGUUUUCUUUGCUAUGCCUACUAGUGCUGAUUGUAAAGACUGAGUGAUUUAGAGAAAUUCAACGUAAAUUGCCAAUUUGGUUGUGUCAAUUAACAGUCUUAUUACUGUAAAACCGAUUUUUAUUUUUAGUGGCUAAAUGAUCAAAUAAACUCCACAUUGUGCCUUGUUAUUUUUAAUUUUCGGGUACUGGUUGCCAUAAAGGGCUAUAGAAUAAACAAAAUCCAGAAGCGCCACUUCUCAGUUGUCAUUGGUUAUUUUUUGCCUUUAUAGGAUGUGCUUGCAAUGUGGAAUA